UACGGGAGGCAGCAGGUGGGGAAUAUUGCACAAUGGGCGAAAGCCUGAUGCAGCUAUGCCGCGUGUAUGAAGAAGGGCCUUAGGGUUGUAAAGUACUUUCAUCGGGGAGGAAAAAACAAAACUAAUAAUUUUAUUUCUUGACGUUACCCGAAAAAGAAGCACCGGCUAACUCCGUGCCAGCAGCCGCGGUAAUACGGAGGGUGCUAGCGUUAAUCAGAAUUACUGGGCGUAAAGAGCACGUAGGUGGUUUUUUUAAGUCAGAUGUGAAAUCCCUGGGCUUAACCUGGAACUGCAUUUUGAAACUGAAAUACUAGAGUAUCGUAGAGGGAGGUAGAAUUCUAGGUGUAGCGGUGAAAUGCGUAGAUAUCUGGAGGAAUCCUGUGGCGAAAGCGGCCUCCUAAACGAAUACUGACACUGAGGUGCGAAAGCGUGGGGA
rnacentral:rRNA from 1 species